rnacentral:rRNA from 1 species
AGUCUGACGGAGCAACGCCGCGUGAGUGAUGAAGGUUUUCGGAUUGUAAAACUCUGUUGUUAGGGAAGAACAAGUCGGGUAGUAACUGACCCGACCUUGACGGUACCUAACCAGAAAGCCCCGGCUAACUACGUGCCAGCAGCCGCGGUAAUACGUAGGGGGCAAGCGUUGUCCGGAAUUAUUGGGCGUAAAGCGCGCGCAGGCGGUCCUUUAAGUCUGAUGUGAAAGCCCACGGCUUAACCGUGGAGGGUCAUUGGAAACUGGAGGACUUGAGUACAGAAGAGGAGAGUGGAAUUCCACGUGUAGCGGUGAAAUGCGUAGAGAUGUGGAGGAACACCAGUGGCGAAGGCGACUCUCUGGUCUGUAACUGACGCUGAGGCGCGAAAGCGUGGGGAGCGAACAGGAUUAGAUACCCUGGUAGUCCACGCCGUAAACGAUGAGUGCUAGGUGUUAGGGGGUUUCCGCCCCUUAGUGCUGAAGUUAACGCAUUAAGCACUCCGCCUGGG